UCCUAAGUCAGAGCAUUUUCUUACAGACUGGCUAAUGAAAAGAGAGGAACAGGGAAGCAGCACAGAAUUAGUAGUACAAUAGGUGCCUGGCAAGUUGUAAAGUCUAUGGAUAAUGAGUGCAUGAAAAUGACUGUGACUUUCCUGAAACACUUCAUAAUCUGCUAUAGUCAUGAGUUAAGUAUGAUGGAUUUCUAUUUAGACUGAUGGAAAAUAGAAUUUACUAUUUGUGAUUUUUUUCUAAACUCCCACAGCUUUCUUCCUUAAAACGAAAGGGGAAAUAUUUUAUAUAAUAUCCUGAUUUUGCACAUUUAUUUUACUUUUAAUAGCUUUGUGCAGUCUCUGAAAGUAGCUAUAUAAGUAAAGUACAUUCAUUUUACUAAAUGAUCACUAAGUUAGAAACAUCUAACUAAUGUGCUUAGCCAGAAUAAAGAGCAGAUUUUAUGCAUGGCAUGUACAUUGGAUAAUUUUUCCCCAAUUUCUCUACAGCUUCUGGAGAUCAGACUGCUCAUAUUUGGAGAUACGUGGUACAGCUGCCGACACCUCAGCCUGUUGCCGACACUAGUCAACAAAUAUCUGGAGAAGACGAAAUUGAGUGCUCUGAUAAAGAUGAGCCUGAUAUCGAUGGAGAUGUGUCCAGUGACUGCCCUACAUUCGGGUUCCACUGACGUCUCUCAAAAGCCACCAGGGAGUGGUCAUAGCUGCUGAUUGGCUGGUUGGAGGGAAGCAGGUGGUGAAGCCUCGUGGGACAGAACAGCGAACCUGUAUGAUGUUGAGACAUCUGAACUUGUUCAUUCUCUCACAGGGCACGACCAGGAGUUAACUCACUGUUGCACACACCCCACCCAGAGGCUCGUGGUGACCUCCUCCCGUGACACGACUUUCCGUCUCUGGGAUUUCAGGGACCCUUCCAUCCACUCUGUGAAUGUUUUCCAAGGACACACGGAGUGAGUUGCCAUUGUUCAGAAAUCUUAACUAUUCAUGAAAAAGGUUUUAUGGAUUGCCAUUAAAACAUAAUUCUAAUCUUAAUUUUCAGUAUUUCCAACUUCACUGUCUUUCAGAAUGAUUGCUGCUUUCCUAAACAUUUUGCUACAUUUUUCAUAGGAUUUAAAAGAUUAAGAGAAGACCCUGAUACUCUUUCAGGAAAUUGGUGGGAUAGAAUGGAGCAGUUGGGGGAAGGGAGAGCACUCCAGGGUUGGUGGCAUGAGUAACAGGAAGGAUGAUCCUUGUCAUCCUUGAGAGAGUCCAACUGGAGCUGUUUUCAGCCACUUGAAAUUUAUUGCAGUGCAUCUUUUCACUCUGUUUUUUGAUAUUACAUGUAUUUGCAGAGCAUAUUUUGUGAGAUUGUGUGUACACACAGACAAGCAGAGACCCUCAUUCUAGUGUGUCCCUCUCUGCUUGGAUUUCUGUCAGGCAGCUUGAGCACGAGGAUAAUAAACUUGUUCUUCUCCCAGCCUGAUCCUUCUCAGUAAAGGAGGAGGCCAUCUGUCCAGUUCUGCAUGA